GAUGAACGCUAGCGAUAGGCUUAACACAUGCAAGUCGAGGGGCAGCAUGAACAAAGCUUGCUUUGUUUGAUGGCGACCGGCGCACGGGUGCGUAACACGUAUGCAACUUACCCAUAAAACAGGGAUAACCCGGAGAAAUAGGUGCUAAUACCGCAUAAGCGCACGGUGUCGCAUGACACAGUGUGAAAAACUCCGGUGGUACAAGAUGGACCCGCGUCUGAUUAGCUAGUUGGUGGGGUAACGGCCUACCAAGGCGACGAUCAGUAGCCGAACUGAGAGGUUAAACGGCCACAUUGGGACUGAGAUACGGCCCAGACUCCUACGGGAGGCAGCAGUCGGGAAUAUUGCGCAAUGGAGGAAACUCUGACGCAGUGACGCCGCGUGCAGGAAGAAGGUUUUCGGAUCGUAAACUUCUUUAAGUGGGGAAGAUAGUGACGGUACCCACAGAAUAAGCCACGGCUAACUACGUG
rnacentral:rRNA from 1 species